rnacentral:lncRNA from 1 species
AGACAACCAAAGUUUUUCCUACUUCUACUCCUAUGCAAGACUAAAUAUUUUUUGGUUGUUUUUUAAGGACAACUAUUAUAAUCUUGAGAAAUAACUUGCAACUAAGAAGAGAGAAGAGGGAUUGUGAGCUCGAGAUAAUUUUGGUGAUCUAGGACGCCCCGUCAUCCCGAUCUCCAUCGGCAUGGUGGACUUCCUAGAAGCACUCUGCGACUUUGGCUCCAGCGUCAACAUUGUGCCCAGGGUUGCAGAUCGGACACUCAGUUUCCCAAAGGAAAUAUUGAAGAACCUCUGCGUUCGAGUUGGUACCUUGUAUGCUCUAGCAGACUUCAUGGUGAUAGAGACUGAUACUAAGGAGAGGGCACCCAUCAUCUUACGGAGGCCAUUCCCAAACACCAGAGCUGUCAUCUACGCUAAUGCUACCAAGAUCAGUUUCUACAUCAAGGGGAAGAAGGAGAUUUUCCUUCAAGAACAAGACUACACAAACUUCAGAGCAAUCCCGACAUGAACCAAGGAAGAGGACCAACAGGAGGAAUAGGAACAAGCAAAUGUGGACCGAGUCAGCUAAGAUGGUCACUGCAGCUCAAGGAGGUCAAGAUCGUCGACUCAAGUCACCUUUCUUGAUCAAGAAGGACGACCCUGGUGUUCCAAGAAUCGAAUGCACAAACAAUGGAUACUCUUUUUAGAAGACACUCUACGACACCGGAUCUGACGACAACAUAAUGGCCGCAGUCACUUAUCAGCUCCUGCAUGGAACCAUGCCCCUACAACCAAGAUACAUUCAGCUUCAAACAAUUUUCAGGUCAUUGACAUAGGAGAAGAUGAGUAUGAUCCAUCCACCAUCCUUGGAAGACCGUUCCUCAGCACUAUCAAAGCCAUUAUCUAUAUUGGAACCGGAGAAGUCCACAUGCACUUCCCCUCUGCGAAAGGUACGCCACUACUUUAAUGAUUAUAUAGUUGAAGAUUCUAAGCAGGUCAGGACAAGAAGAAGACAAACCGCAACCAGAGGAGGCAAAUCGGACGGAUGGGUAGACUAUGAAGGAGAAGUGAUAAGGACUGAAGACAUACAACUUGAACAGAACUGUCCUGAGGAGACCGUAGCACCGAGUCAGGUGUGGAGAGAGAAGAUAGUUAUACACGAAGAAGAGGCGCCGCCGGAACCACCGACUACGCCACUUAGCAAAUCCCAGGACGACUGAGAAAACGGAGAGUCCCGUUCGGAGGACUUAAAAACACCAAACGCCUUGCCAAGAGGUAAACUUGGUAGUUAUCCUUUUCCUUUCAAUUAUUCAAUUAUAGUUUGCUUAGUUAAUCAGGUUCAUGCUAUCUCGAAAAGAAAAUAAAAAUGUUAAAAAAAUAUUAAGCCCCAUGUGAGUAUGCUCAUGGCAUAAAACCCAUAGGUACAUUCACUGUGGUGGCAUAAAAAUAAAAUACAUAUUUUUCUGCUUUAUAAAAACAAAAAUAUAAAAACAGGGAGUAAUAUUUAUUAAGGAGUCUCAACAUGAUAAAGGCUAGAUAUUUAUGCUAACGCUUAAUCAGUUUCACAAGCUUUGUUGUCUAUUUGAGCUCCACAGAAUUUAAGAAUCAAGAAGACUAGCAGACGGAGGACAUUCUAAUCGCUGUCAAAAUACUGCUGACUUUCGAACACACCUCUGCCACCUGCUAGCUACAUCAAGAGAAAUUACGUCAAAAUUCAGCUUGGGGGAGAGCACCCCCAUUUAUCUCGAUAAGUAUUUCUAUCUAUCUUUAUACUUAUACUAUAUUAGAAUAUAAAUACACAUAACUAUAAAAAACCAAAUAAAGAUUUUAUGCUUAUAUAUUUUGCUUAGUGUGUUUAAUAAAUAAAUAAAGUGGCUAUGCUAAUCUGUAUCUAAUAAAACUUAAGCAUGGAUAUGAUGAAUAGUUGCUAUGCCUAAUUUUCAAAUUUGAAGUUCUCUCUCAAGUUUAGAUAUAACUGUUAUAAUUUAAGGCUUGCUCUAGACCUAAACUUGUGGGAUGAAAACUUGAUCUGAAGUCUAAGUUGUUAACAGAUACGAUAUGGGAAGGUUGAGCUGCUGUUUAUCUGUUCCUAGAGAUGCUAGAAUUCUAGAGAAUUUUAUCUUUAAAAAUCUUUAAAAUGUUGCAUGAUGAGUUCCUGUAUGAUGAGAGUUUAAAUUCCUACCACAGCCAUAUAUACAUGCUUGCUAGACCUUGAGCCACACAUUUACUAUUUACUGCUUAUGAGCAUUGAGUGUGGUCAAGCUGUGUAGACCCUUAGGAGCUUGUCAUGUGGUUAAAUCAAGAUUCACUUGCACGAUUACUCAUACAUGCUACUUCUACUCCGGAAGUACCAUCCACAUAUAUCCACUCAUUUCUAUCUCCAGUUUUACCCAAAAUUAUUCUACUCCUAAUCCGGGAGAGAAUAGCCAAAAACAUUUUCCUAUCCCUGUUAUUCCCUAUGAAAUAAAUGCUCCAGUUAUUUUGGUUACUACCACUUGCUACAUUAUUUCAGGAGAUGAGUGCUCUAGUAAAAAAAAAGAGAAAAAAAAAGAAGAAAAAAAAGAGAAAAAAAUAAUAAUAAUAUACGAGGAAAUAAAAAGGAGCAAGUGCUCGGAACCUCGAAAGAAAAGAAAAAGAAGAGCAUCUCAUUCUCCUCAUAAAGUUUCAAAAGCAAGGAAGGUAUGUAUCCCCUGAAUGAGCAAAGUAGAAUUAGACUUCCACCACCAUUGUUAUCACCAUCAUCACCAUACACCAUUCAUUCGCCACACAUGCACAUCUUGAUUUGGCUUAUUGAUUUGUUUCUUUGGAUCCAUGGUUUGACUAUGCAAUAAAUGUCUUUUAAGUAUGUAUACUUUAUCUCCCACCUAUGAGCUCCAGAUAUUAAAGCCUUAUUAGAGUAGGGUGAAAGAAAAGACAAUGUCACUAUGCUUCAUACCACAAAUACUACAUAUUUUGAGAGAAGGCAUAUACGAUCACUGCCUUGGUAAGGAUCCAAAAAUACCACAAAAGAGAGACCUGAGAGAAUCAUACAAGGAAUUUCUGAGUUUUAUUUGAAAAUCUGCAAAAACCCCAGAGCUAUAGCUGUUCAAGAAUAAGAGUCAUGGCACUUGGCUAGACUGUUCUAUCUUUUAACCACUCAAGACAGAAGUGACAGUUACAAGUCCCAUGGUAAAGGUAAAGUAAGUAAGUUUUAAGUCUUGACAGUUUACUCUAACUCAGGGAUGAGAUCUUAUUUAAAAAGCAUGUGUACAUCAAUUUUUAAAAAUAUUGCAACAAUUUAUGAUCCACAGCUGAGUCUAUCCUUGCUCAGGGACGAGCAAGAGGUAAGCUUGGGGGAGUUUGUUGACGGUCCUUAAGUAUCAAAUUUACUUAUCAAAUAAACAAAGAAAAGGAUCCAAAUGAAAUCAACAUCUAGACUUAGGGUUUUAUCUGACAGAAUUCCACGAGUUUUGGUGUUUGUCUAUUUCUGCAGGGGGUUAUCAGGAAAUAAGGAAGAAAGGCCCACAUGUCGGGAUUACAUAGAGAUAUCAACCCACCGCGCAAUUUUCUACCAUCUAGAAGACUCCAGAAGCCACGAGAAGGAAGCGGAGCCCAAAAGGGGCCAGGCCCAGGGCGCCCGCCCUGAGGACCUGGGCGCCCGCCCCCCUCUGGACUCCGUUCCGGACUCUCUUCGCACACGACGUUCCACCGACCUAAUGGAUCUAGAAUAACAUAGUACCACCUCGCCUAUCGACCCAAAAACGCAUAGAAGGUGAGGACUAUAUAAGGAGACCCCCUCUGGCCCCUGGACGAGACAAGAAAUUAUCUUAGAGAUUGAGGGGUGCCCUCAAAGGAAAACCUCUUCUCUAAAUAAUAUUUCUUUUUAGGCUUAGCAACCAAUGUAAAGUAGAAAUAGAUCUUCUAGUUUCUACUAGAUUGAGAGAGAUAGAGUGGAGGUGUGGAUCGGAGGAAGGCCGGCCUGUCGGUGUCUACUCCGAGUUGUACCUACGGGAUCAAGUCUCCUAACCCGAGGCUUGCUUCUAAGAUUCUUCAGUAAUUCGCCUUCUAAUACUAGUAAGUUCUUGUUUUAUUGUUCUUUGGUUUAUGAGUUUACUUUAAUCCUCUUCCGGUUGAGUAUUAGAGUAAUCACUUGUUAGCGUAAACGUGGUGUUUAGGCUAGGGUACUCAUAGAUAUCCCCUGACUAGCUGGACCGUGGUAGUAGCGAGGAACGUGACAUUUCCGAGUUACCUUUGCAGAUCACAUCUCGUUAGCAGGACGGGUAGGUUUAUAGGUGCGGGUCGAACAUCCUUUGUGUUGUCUAGAUUCCGUGAGCCUCCCCAAUAGAACAGUAGAUCAUCCUUACCAAGGUUAGAACGAGACUACAGUUGCAGUCUUCUCUAUACAUCACUCACAUCGAGAGACAUUCUUUGUAGUCUAAAGGGAUAGUAGCAAUAGAUUUGGUUAGUCAGAUGCACCCUUUCUCCCAGUGGUAAAAAUAUAAAUACGAUAACUCUGGAUAACCUCCCAGGUGAAAUGCUCACCGAUAUCCAUGCGCUUGCGGAUCAUUUCCUUAUUGCGUUACCAAAUAUCAACAGGUACUUUAUGAAAAAUUCUUUACAUAUCCUUUAUUAGAGACAACCAUGUGUUUGCAGUUUGCAGAUCACACGAUAACUUUUCCAAAAGGAAUAGUGAGGAAUCUUUGUGUCCGAGUUGGUACCUUAUAUGCCCCAGCAGACUUCGUAGUGGUAGAGACCGGAAAUGAUGAGAGAGCAUCUAUCAUCCUAGGGAGGCCAUUCUUAAACACCACGGGAGCUAUCAUCUAUGCUAGUGCUGCCAAGAUCAGUUUCUACGUCAAAGGGAAGAAGGAGACAUUUUUCUUUAAGAACAGGACUACACAAAUUCCAAAUCAAUCCAGACGUGAAUCAAGGAAGAGGACCAACAGGAGGAACAGGGACAAGCAAGUGUGGACCGAGUCAGCUAAGAUGGUCACUGUAGUUCAUGGAGGUCAAGAUCACCAACUUAAGUCACCGUUUUUGACCAAGAAGGACGACCCAGGAAUGCCAAGCAUUUACUGCUCCAUACAUGGAUAUAGCUUCUACAAGACAAUUUGCGACACCGGAUCGGGCGUCAACAUAAUGGCUGCAGUCACCUAUCGGCUCUUGUUCGGAACCAUGCCACUAAGACCAACAUACAUUCAGCUCCAGAUGGCAGAUCAGACAUUUCGAGAAGUUCAAGGAAUAGUAUCUGAUGUCCCAGUCAAAAUAGUCGAUUACUUUGUCUACACAGACUUUCAAGCUGUUGACAUGGGAGAAGACGAGUAUGAUCCACCCGUCAUCCUUGGAAGACCGUUCCUCAGCACCGUUAAAGCAAUUAUCUACAUUGGAACCGGAGAAGUCCAUAUGCACUUCCCCUCAGAGAAGGUACACCGUUAUUUUACUGACCCUAACUAUAUCAUUGAAGAAUCUAAGCAGGUAAGAAAGCGACGCAACCGCAACCAGAGGAGGCAGAUCAUCAAGGACGGAUGGGCAGACUAUGAAGGAGAAGUUGUAAGGUCAGAAGACAUAGAGUUUAAAUAGAAUUAUCCAGAGGAGAUUGAAGCACCGAGUCAGGUAUGGAAAAUGAAGAUAACUAUACAAGAAGAGGAGGCGCUGCCGGAAGUACCGACUACGCCACCCAACGAACCUCAGGACGAUUAAGAAAAUGGAGAGUCCCGUUCGGAGGACUUAAAAACACCGAACGCCUUGCCAAGAGGUAAACUUGGUAGUUAUCCUUUCCCUUUCAAUUAUUUCAAAGAGUUUACUUAGUUAAUCAUGUUCAUACUAUCUUAAAAAGAAAAUAAAAAUGUGAAAAAACUGUAAGCCCCAUGUGAGUAGACGAGUGGCAUAAAACCCAUAAGUACAUUCACUGUGGUGGCAUAAAAAUAAAAUAAAUAUUUUUUGUGCUUUAUAAAAACAAAAAUAUAAAAACAGGGAGUAAUAAUUAUUAAGGAGUCUCAACUUGAUAAAGGCUAGAUAUUUAUGCUAACACUUAAUCAGUUCCACAAGCUUUGUUGUCUAUUUGAGCUCCACAGAAUUUAAGAAUCAAGAAGACUAGCAGACGGAGGACAUCCUAAUCGCUGUCAGAAUGCUGCUGACUUUCAAAUACACUUCUGCCACCUGCUAGCUACACCAAGAGAAAUUACGUCAAAAUUCAGCUUGGGGGAGAGCACCCCCAUUUAUCCCGAUAAGUAUUUCUUUCUAUCUAUCUUUAUACUUAUAUUAUUUUAGAAUAUAAAUAACUAUGAAAAAACCAAAUAAAGAUUUUAUGCUUAUAUAUAUGCCUUUUGCUUAGUGUGUUUAAUAAAUAAAUAAAGUGGCUAUGCUAAUCUGUAUCUAAAUAAAACUUAAGCAUGGAUAUGAUAAAUAGUUGCUCUGCAUAAUUUGCAAAUUUUAAGUUCUCUCUCAAGUUUAGAUAUAACUGUUAUAAUUUAAAGCUUGCUCUAGACCUAAACUUGUGGGAUGAAAACUUGAUCUGAAGUCUAAGUUGUUAACGGAUAUGAUAUGGGAAGGUUGAGCUGCUGUUUAUCUGUUCCUAGAGAUGCUAGAAUUCUAGAGAAUUUUAUCUUUGAAAAUCUUUAAAAUGUUGCAUGAUGAGUUCCUGUAUGAUGAGAGCUUAAAUUCCUACCACAGCCAUAUAUGCAUGCUUGCUAGACUUUGAGCCACACAUUUAUUAUUUACUGCUUAUGAGCAUUGAGUGUGGUCAAGCUGUGUAGACCCUUAGGAGCUUGUCAUGUGGUUAAAUCAAGAUUUCACUUGCAUGUCCACUCAUAUAUGCUACUUCUACUCCGGAAGUACCAUCCACAUAUAUCCAUUCAUUUCCAUCUCCAGAAUCACCCAAAAAUAUUCUACUCCUAAUCCGGGAGAGAAUAACCAAAAAAAAUAAAUAUUUCUAUUUUUCCCUUUGUAAAAUAAAUGCUCAAGUUAUCUUGUUACUACCACUUGCUAUAUUAUCUCAUGAGAUGAUUGCUCUAAAAAAAAAGAGAAACGAGGAAAUAAAAAGGAGCAAGUGCUCGGAACCUCGAAAGAAAAAAAAAAGUGAGACGAGAGGUAAAAAUGGACAAGUGUCCGACAGUAGAAUUAGGGGUGCAAGAUGCCCACCUGAGAGACAAGAAAAAGAAGAACAUCUCAUUCUCCUCAUAAAGUUUCAAAAGCAAGGAAGGUAUCUAUCCCCUCAAAAGAGCAAAGUAGAAUUAGACUUGCACCACCAUUGUUUCCACCAUUGUUAUCACCAUUAUCACCAUACACCAUUCAUUCGCCACACAUACACAUCUUGAUUUGGCUUAUUGAUUUGUUUCUUUGGAUCCAUGGUUUGACUAUGCAAUAAAUGUCUUGUAAGUAUGUAUACUUUAUCUCCCACCUAUGAACUCCAGAUAUUAAAGCCUUAUUAGAGUAGGGUGAGAGAAAAGGCAAUGUCACUAUGCCUCAUACCACAAAUACUACAUAUCUUGAGAGAAGGCAUAUACCAUCAAUGCCUUGGUAAGGAUCCAAAAAUAUCACAAAAGAGAGACCUGAGAGAAUCAUACAAGGAAUUUCUGAGUUUUAUUUGAAAAUCUGCAAAA